CUGUUUUUGGUGGGGUGACGGCGUGCCUUUUGAAGAAUGAGCCUGCGAGUUAGUGGUGUGUGGCGAGGUUAACCCGUGGUGGGGGAGCCGUAGCGAAAGCGAGUCCGAAGAGGGCGUUUGAGUCGCAUGCUCUAGACCCGAAGCGGUGUGAUCUACCCAUGGCCAGGGUGAAGCGUCGGUAAGACGUCGUGGAGGCCCGAACCCACCAGGGUUGCAAACCUGGGGGAUGAGUUGUGGGUAGGGGUGAAAGGCCAAUCAAACACUGUGAUAGCUGGUUCUCCCCGAAAUGCAUUUAGGUGCAGCGUCGCGUGUUUCUUGUCGGAGGUAGAGCACUGGAUGGUCUAGGGGGCCUAUCAGCUUACCGAAAUCAGCCAAACUCCGAAUGCCGGCAAGUGGGAGCGUGGCAGUGAGACGGCGGGGGAUAAGCUUCGUCGUCGAGAGGGAAACAGCCCAGAUCAUCAGCUAAGGCCCCUAAGGGGUGGCUAAGUGGGAAAGGAUGUGGAGUUGCGGUGACAACCAGGAGGUUGGCUUGGAAGCAGCCAUCCUUGAAAGAGUGCGUAAUAGCUCACUGGUCAAGUGAUUCCGCGCCGACAAUGUAGCGGGGCUCAAGCCGCCCGCCGAAGCUGUGGCAUUCACGCGUUGACCUGAUGCCGGGGUUUUCCCCUUGGUGUCCAGGUGUGUGGAUGGGUAGGGGAGCGUUGUGUGUGUGGUGAAGCGCUGGGGUGACCCGGUGUGGAGUGCGCGCAAGUGAGAAUGCAGGCAUGAGUAGCGUAUGACGGGUGGGAAACCCGUCCGCCGAAUAUCCAAGGGUUCCGGGGUCAAGCUGAUCUGCCCCGGGUUAGUCGGGUCCUAAGGCGAGGCCGACAGGCGUAGUCGAUGGUUAACGGGUUGAUAUUCCCGUACCGGCCCAGUAACGAUCCUGUUGAAUCGGAUGAUGCUAAGCACGCGAGACGUCCUUGUGCUCUUUGGAGUGUGGGGGUGUUGAGUCUGUGAACCGAGUCUGUAGUAGACAAGCUGCGGAGGGACGCAGGAAGGUAGCUCGACAGCCGUCAUGGUAAGGCUGUUAAGUCUGUGGGGUGACUGGUAGGUAAAUCCGCUGGUCGUGUGCCUGAGAGAUGAAGAGUGGGGCCCCGUAUGGUGGGUUCGUAUUCGAGUGAUCCUAUGCUGCCUAGAAAAGCUUCGUGAGCGAGUUGCUGUUAGUGCCGCCCGUACCCCAAACCGACACUGGUGGAUAGGUAGAGAAUACCGAGGCGAUCGAGAUAAUCGUGGUGAAGGAACUCGGCAAAAUCCUCCCGUAACUUAGGGAUAAGGGAGACUUGACGCGUGAUGGGUUCUUGCGGCCCGGAGCGCUGACAGUCGCAGUGAAUUGACCCAAGCGACUGCUUACUAAAAGCACAGGUCCGUGCCAAGUUGUAAGACGAUGUAUACGGACUGACUCCUGCCCGGUGCUGGAAGGUUAAGGGGAACUGUUAGCCCUUUUGGGCGAAGCGGUGAACUUAAGCCCCAGUAAACGGCGGUGGUAACUAUAACCAUCCUAAGGUAGCGAAAUUCCUUGUCGGGUAAGUUCCGACCUGCACGAAUGGAGUAACGACUUGGGUACUGUCUCCACCACGAACUCGGUGAAAUUGCAUUACGAGUAAAGAUGCUCGUUACGCGCAGCAGGACGGAAAGACCCCGGGACCUUUACUAUAGUUUGGUAUUGGUGAUCGGUGCGACUUGUGUAGGAUAGGUGGGAGACUGUGAAGCGGUCACGCUAGUGGUCGUGGAGUCGUCGUUGAAAUACCACUCUGGUCGUUCUGGUUAUCUAACCUAGGACCGUUAUCCGGUUCAGGGACAGUGCCUGAUGGGUAGUUUGACUGGGGCGGUCGCCUCCCAAAAGGUAACGGAGGCGCCCAAAGGUUCCCUCAGCCUGGUCGGCAACCAGGUGUUGAGUGUAAGUGCACAAGGGGGCUUGACUGUGAGACAGACAUGUCGAGCAGGGACGAAAGUCGGGACUAGUGAUCUUCUGGUGGCUUGUGGAAGCGCCAGAACUCAACGGAUAAAAGGUACCCCGGGGAUAACAGGCUGAUCUUGCCCGAGCGCUCACAGCGACGGCAUGGUUUGGCACCUCGAUGUCGGCUCGUCGCAUCCUGGGGCUGGAGUCGGUCCCAAGGGUUGGGCUGUUCGCCCAUUAAAGCGGCACGCGAGCUGGGUUAAGAACGUCGUGAGACAGUUCGGUCCCUAUCCGCUGCGCGCGUAGGAAUCUUGAGAAGGGCUGUCCUUAGUACGAGAGGACCGGGACGGACUAACCUCUGGUGUGCCAGUUGUUCCUCCAGGAGCAUGGCUGGUUGGCUACGUUGGGAAGUGAUAACCGCUGAAAGCAUCUAAGUGGGAAGCACGCUUCGAGAUGAGGGUUCCCCAGCCCCUGUGCUGGUAAGGCCCCCGGUAGACCACCGGGUUGAUGGGUCGGACGUGGAAGCGCCGUGAGGUGUGGAGCUGACCGAUUCCAAGUGGCCGAGAGGCUUGCCAUC
rnacentral:rRNA from 2 species